CCAUGACAGGGGCGGGGAAGGAAAUGAUGGCAGGGAGGAAGUGAGGUGACGUCCAUGAUAUGUGUGGGAAAGGAAGACAGGAGGUAAGGGCGGAAGUGACGUCACUUUAGAAGCAACCGUGACUGUAGAUAGGUCACGGGACUGGCAGAGCCAACCUCCUUCUGUACUAGGCGCCAUCUUUAGGGAGGUGGCUGACAUACUUUGAAGAAAACACUAUAUUACAACUAAUAAAAUAAGUCAGUUCCGAGAUUUAAAUACUAAACUAUAAAUAAACCUGACAGGUUAAAUAAGACAGUUGAGAACAUUAUGCAUUUAACAGCCCAUACAGCUGUCUCUAGAAACAUGUACUUUAAAAUAACAUGAUGCAAAAUAAACUCACGAAAUUCAACCAAUUUCCCUUAUGCUGAAUAGCUCUUGCUACUCGGUACCAGGCUUCUGCUGUACGAACCAAAUCGUGGUCCGACAGCUUCCCUUUCUUCUCUGUCAGUAACUUACGCCAGCUCUCUGGCUGCAAUCUGCCGCAUGGAGGUACGGUAAUUCCACAUACUUUAGCAAUUUUCCUCACUUUCUUAACCAUCUCUUCUCCUUCUCUGUCUUCCACGAGAUCACAUGCUAACCAACCCUUACUGGGUUUAUCUAACUUCUGUCCCAUCCUCCCUAUAUAAGGCAUCCCAGAUAUAGAGAAAGAGAGAAAAGAAGGUCUACAGUGCUCGACUGCUACGUAAGAGUGGGUUCCUACGUACGUCUUCCCAAAACGUAGACUAGUCACUAAUUCCG